UACGGGGGGGGCAAGCGUUGUUCGGAAUUACUGGGCGUAAAGGGCUCGUAGGCGGCCAACUAAGUCAGACGUGAAAUCCCUCGGCUUAACCGGGGAACUGCGUCUGAUACCGGAUGGCUUGAGUUUGGGAGAGGGAUGCGGAAUUCCAGGUGUAGCGGUGAAAUGCGUAGAUAUCUGGAGGAACACCGGUGGCGAAGGCGGCAUCCUGGACCAACACUGACGCUGAGUGAGCGAAAGCCAGGGGAGCAAACGGG
rnacentral:rRNA from 1 species